ACGAACGCUGGCGGCGCGCCUCACACAUGCAAGUCGAACGAGCGAGAGAGAGCUUGCUUUCUCGAGCGAGUGGCGAACGGGUGAGUAACGCGUGAGGAACCUGCCUCAAAGAGGGGGACAACAGUUGGAAACGACUGCUAAUACCGCAUAAGCCCACGGCUCGGCAUCGAGCAGGGGGAAAAGGAGCAAUCCGCUUUGAGAUGGCCUCGCGUCCGAUUAGCUAGUUGGUGGGGUAACGGCCCACCAAGGCGACGAUCGGUAGCCGGACUGAGAGGUUGAACGGCCACAGUGGGACUGAGACACGGCCCAGACUCCUACGGGAGGCAGCAGUGGGGAAUAUUGCACAAUGGGGGAAACCCUGAUGCAGCGACGCCGCGUGGAGGAAGAAGGUCUUCGGAUUGUAAACUCCUGUUGUUGGGGAAGAUAAUGACGGUACCCAACAAGGAAGUGACGGCUAACUACGUG
rnacentral:rRNA from 1 species